UUUUACUUGAGUAAUUUUCUAAUAAUUUAUCUUUACUUUUACUCAAGUAUGACAAUUGGGUACUUUUUCCACCACUGUUCAUGAAUGAUGUCGAUAAUCUACUGGCAAAUGUGAUAUUUCAGGGUUGUUUUUUAAAACAAUUUUACAAUUUAUGGUCCCUGAAGACUGUCGGAAAGCCCCAAACGCAAGAUCGUAAUGACUCACACAGCACUUCACUUUUUCUUUUACAACUGUGAGCAUUUUUCUACAGUAUUCACAACAUAUUAACACAUUUACAAUCUUCACAGAGUAUCAUUUCAUCAAUUACAUGUGGAAAUACAUAUUUGAGUGAACAUUAGCAAGCCAGCAGCAGAUGAAACAGAAAGUGAAUUUUCUCCUCCCUCUCUCCACAGUUUUAGCUUGCUAUCUAGCUGGUUGGUUUAGGAUAUUUACUAGCCCAUACCAGUGACAAACUUAGCUAUAUGGCAGCUCACUUAUUUUGCUAGCUAGAAAGAAUUAGACACAAAUGAAUUUAGAAACGGAGGAAGAGGAUAGUGAGCUAUAGCACGCUAACGUUAGCAGCUGCCUCUUCAACAAGAAGCAACUAUGACAACAUUGAUCUUAAAAUCUAAAUAAAAUGAACUUCCCCCAUUUGAGAAAAAUCCACAAUCCACCUCUCCAAAGAAAGCAUGGCUCUGGGGCUUCUCUAAUCCGUGGCCUUAGCUUCACUUUUCCGUUUAGCCCGCACUUGGCAGGUUGUAUAGAAAACACCCCCGGAGCCACAGAAUGGCCAGAUUAUUGCAACGGGCAGCCCUCACAAACACCUUGAAAACUUGCUCUAUACAGUAACAGUGAACUCCGUUGUGGCCAAAACUACUUUUUCCAAUAGGCUUGUACUACCUAUAGUAUGACAGCAUCAGCAGUUAGCUACCAACAGCUGGCAGACAUGUUUACAUUGGGUUAGUUUUAUCAGUGUUAUUUAGAUGGAAGACGUAGCAAGCUAGCUCGUUCACUUACUAUACCCAGUUCUCCAUGCUCACUGAAGCCAAUGAUGAUGUUCGGUCUCUGCUGGUCUUGCUGGCUGUUUCAGAUUUUUUCACAUAUAGUCAUCUUUAAAAUAACCGAUUUCAGUCCUCUUUCAAGUGAACUGUGGAGGGAAAAGAAGAAGUGCUUUGUAUUCUUACUGCCCUUGCCUUUGAAUGAGGAUUCAACUCUUUUGCCAGUUCACUUCACCCAUUUGUGAUCUGAGACCUCUUUGCAUUCACAUUGCUAUUUUUAGAAUGCACUCUGGGUUUUUACAAAGUGUAGGACAAGCCAUUUCAUUGGAUCAUGUUAUCGGACAGCUAGAUAGACCUACUUAAAUUUUGGAAGCUAAUAGAUUACAUUUCAUUCAAAUAUGAUAAUAAUAUUUAAUAAUUGAAAUCAGAAGAUACUAUUAACAUGUAAAUAUUAUUGGUAACAGCAGAAAAAUAACUACAGAUUAAAUAAUGUUGUAAUUGAAAAUUGUACACCCAAUGUAGGCUACUGCCCCUUCAAGAGCUAGAAAUUAUUUUUGUACCCUAUGUUGUGAUUCUCACCAAAUAUGUUGUUGUCCUCUCUCAUUAUUCAAACCCCACAGUCAAAUAAACAGUUUGCCGCUCUCUGAUAUAGAUCACAUAUUGCAAACAAAUAAUCUGAACACAUAUUUUGGAAUUUCUGUGGAUCCUUGACAAUCGCUAAUCAAUAUGCAAAAACAGCAACAAAAAAAUCUAAAACCUGCAAAUCAUAAUUUUCUCUCUUUUGUGUCACCAGUGCGAGGGGUUAUGAAAGGGGGAUAAUGACAUACAAACUUGGGAGGCUUUGUUAACAUUUCCCUAAAAAAGGUAACCAGGCCGCGCAAUUCAAGCAAACUGAACUCAGACCACCUCUCGAAAGAGACUCAGUUCAGUUCACUUCGGGGACUCUUUUAAGGGGUCUGAGUUACUUUGGAGUGUUCACAAAAAAAGGCUGAAAGAGACCAAGUGUGAAAACACCCUUAGAAGCCACAUUGAUGUUACUGACAGCAUCCAUUUUAAGAAGCAUCUUCUUGCUGAAGCACUCCUUCCAGUGUUGAUAGCUGUGGAAGUUCUCAUGGAUAAAAAGUGCCCCGCAGAUUGACGCAUACAUGCUCAAUUCGCCUGGUUUCCACAGCCACAAAGUCAAAAUGGUCUAUUUCCUAAAAUAAAAAUGCUUUUUGGUUUUAAUUUAAGGUUGGGAUUAGGCACAAGGUUAGCAGUGUUGUUAAGGGACCAAUUCACCUUUUUGGUUUUAAUUUAAGGUUGGGGUUAGGCACAAGGUUAGCAGUGUUGUUAAGGGACCAAUUCACCUUUUUGGUUUUAAUUUAAGGUUGGGGUUAGGCACAAGGUUAGCAGUGUUGUUAAGGGACCAAUUCACCUUUUUGGUUUUAAUUUAAGGUUGGGGUUAGGCACAAGGUUAGCAGUGUUGUUAAGGGACCAAUUCACCUUUUUGGUUUUAAUUUAAGGUUGGGGUUAGGCACAAGGUUAGCAGUGUUGUUAAGGGACCAAUUCACCUUUUUGGUUUUAAUUUAAGGUUGGGGUUAGGCACAAGGUUAGCAGUGUUGUUAAGGGACCAAUUCACCUUUUUGGUUUUAAUUUAAGGUUGGGGUUAGGCACAAGGUUAGCAGUGUUGUUAAGGGACCAAUUCACCUUUUUGGUUUUAAUUUAAGGUUGGGGUUAGGCACAAGGUUAGCAGUGUUGUUAAGGGACCAAUUCACCUUUUUGGUUUUAAUUUAAGGUUGGGGUUAGGCACAAGGUUAGCAGUGUUGUUAAGGGACCAAUUCACCUGCCUCAUUCUCACAAAUGUAUCUAACUUUUGACAUCGUUUUUCAUUCACCGUGUGACGCAGACCACGGGGCGUUGAAUGGAGCUGAUUUGGAGAGAACCUUAAACACAACAUUAUUAUAACAAUUGACAUAAGUGUUUUGUAAUUUGGGGAUGAUUUCUUGGGGGGGGGCUCUAAUAUAUUAUUUAUUUUUAGAAUUAUAAUAAUUUUUACAUGUAUUUCUGGCAUUGAGAAACAAGUCCUACACUCCCUUUAAUCAGGGAAAGUUGAGUAAGCUAGACUAGGGUAGGAGCAGUGGCAACCUGUCAUUCAGGGCAGGUGGGGUCUAUAGCAGAGACCCACCUGUUUUGAA